UAAUUGUGCUUAAUCACCGGGGAUGAACAACUUUUGUCACGUGACCGCAAAAGUCAACGCCGGUUGCAGAAACAGAUUGUAAUCUUGUACAUUAAGAAACAUGACGCUCGUGUGUGAAAUCUGUGGAAAGACAUUUAAAUCGAAGUGGGGGUUAAAGCUUCAUGAUAAGCGCCACAGAGGGACUGGACGAUUCGCCUGUUGUGGAAAAACAUUUUACACAAAACAGGCGUUCAACAGACACAGAUGCAGCAUUCAUGGUGUUGAAAAGCCGUUCCCCUGUGAACAAUGCGGCAAAAAGUUUUCAACCAAAGAUGACCUGAAUCGUCACGUCCGGAGGGAGGUUGCUGCAAAGCAAUUUACCUGCUCAAUUUGCAAUGCAACGCUCCGGGAGAAAAUUGACCUUCAGGCCCACCUUGCCACCCACAAUGGAGAGAAAAACUUUGCUUGUGAUAUGUGUGAAAAGAGGUACAGGCACCGCAGUAGUCUAUCAAAGCACAGAUCUGCAAAGCACCGGGCCUAGUCAUCUGUUGCAUGACGAUGAUAAGACCAAGAAUUAUUUUUAAUUCUUACCAAUGUGCCGUGGUUAUUUUCUUAAUUAUUGAAAAUACAGACUGUCAUACAAUAAUAUAUAGUAUUACGCGUGUUUUUGCGUCUUAAACAUUGUGUUUCAUAUCGUUUAUCUUGUGUUGUUUUGUUUGAUAUUCCUGUUUUUAAUAAGAUUAUUGUUGUAAUAUUUAUCAUUCUAAUUUAAAAUGAUUAUGAUAAUGGUUGAUCUCAUACAAAUUAUUGUGUUCAUUAUUGCUCAUCUGUGAUUACUGUUGAUCUCAGCCCAUGAAUUGUGAUUUAUAUUGAUUAUCUGUGAUUAUUGUUGAUCUUAUCAAAAUAAUUGUAAUUUAUGUUGAUUAUCUUUGAAUUUUUUAUCUUAACCUAUUAAUAGUGAUUUAUAUUAUCUGUGAUUAUUGUUGAUCUUAUCAAAAUCAUUGUGAUUUAUGUUGAUUAUCUGUGAUUAUUGUUGAUCUCAACCGAUUAAUUGUGAUUUAUAUAACCAGUGAUUAUUGUUGAUCUUAUCAAAAUCAUUGUAAUUUAUGUUGAUUAUCUGUGAUUAUUGUUGAUCUUUUCGAAAUCAUUGUAAUUUAUGUUGAUUAUCUGUGAUUAUUGUUGAUCUUUUCGAAAUCAUUGUAAUUUAUGUUGAUUAUCUGUGAUUAUUGUUGAUCUUUUCAAAAUCAUUGUAAUUUAUGUUGAUUAUCUGUGAUUAUUGUUGAUCUCACCAUAUCCGCUGGAAUAUACAUUUGAGCCGCGCUCUGUGAAAAGGGGGUUUAAUGCAUGUGCGUAAAGUGCAGUCCACAUAGGCUAAUCAGGGACGGCACUUUCCGCUUUUAUGAUAUGUUUUGUUAAAAGAAAGUCUCUUCUGAGCAAAAAUCGAGUUUAUCGGAAAGGUUUGUCCCUAAUUAGCCUGUACGGAAUGCACAGGCUAAUAUGUGACGACACCUUACGCACAUGCAUUAAACCCCCUUUUCACAGAGCGAGACUCAUUUGUAAUCUGCGAUUUUUGUUUAUCUAUUUCGAAUCAAUAUGAUUAAAAUAUAUUUUUGGUGAGUUAGCUUUUUGUCUCAUUGGAAUCAUUGUGCGAAUUGUCAACAAUUACAUGUAAAUCUGUAAUUCCUUCUCAAGUUGCACAUAGGCCAGUUUAAUGUUUUGCGUAUAAGCUAUUAUUGCGAUACGGGAUAUUCUUUGCAGCAAUAAAACAAUUAAUCUGCA